GUUAGGUAAAUCCGGCUCUUUCUAAGGCUGAGACACGACGUCGAGCACCUACGGGUGUGAAGUCAUUGAUGCCAUGCUUCCAGGAAAAGCCUCUAAGCUUCAGAUUGUAAGGAAUCGUACCCCAAACCGACACAGGUGGUCGGGUAGAGAAUACCAAGGCGCUUGAGAGAACUCGGGUGAAGGAACUAGGCAAAAUGGUACCGUAACUUCGGGAGAAGGUACGCUCUUGAUGGUGAAGUCCCUUGCG
rnacentral:rRNA from 1 species